CCUACGGGCGGCUGCAGUGGGGAAUAUUGGACAAUGGGGGCAACCCUGAUCCAGCCAUGCCGCGUGUGUGAAGAAGGCCCUCGGGUUGUAAAGCACUUUCAGUGAGGAAGAACGCCUGGUGGUUAAUACCCAUCAGGAAAGACAUCACUCACAGAAGAAGCACCGGCUAACUCCGUGCCAGCAGCCGCGGUAAUACGGAGGGUGCGAGCGUUAAUCGGAAUUACUGGGCGUAAAGCGCGCGUAGGUGGCUUGAUAAGCCGGUUGUGAAAGCCCCGGGCUCAACCUGGGAACGGCAUCCGGAACUGUCAAGCUAGAGUGCAGGAGAGGAAGGUAGAAUUCCCGGUGUAGCGGGGAAAUGCGUAGAGAUCGGGAGGAAGACCAGUGGCGAAGGCGGCCUUAUGGACUGACACUGACACUGAGGUGCGAAAGCGUGGGUAGCAAACAGGAUUAGAUAACCCGGUAGUC
rnacentral:rRNA from 1 species